GCNAACUGCAGUCGAGCGAUCUGAUGGGAGCUUGCUCCCUGAUGAUUAGCGGCGGACGGGUGAGUAACACGUGGGUAACCUGCCUGUAAGACUGGGAUAACUCCGGGAAACCGGGGCUAAUACCGGAUAACUUUUUUCUUCGCAUGAAGGAGAAUUGAAAGAUGGCUUCGGCUAUCACUUACAGAUGGACCCGCGGCGCAUUAGCUAGUUGGUGAGGUAACGGCUCACCAAGGCGACGAUGCGUAGCCGACUUGAGAGGGUGAUCGGCCACACUGGGACUGAGACACGGCCCAGACUCCUACGGGAGGCAGCAGUAGGGAAUCUUCCGCAAUGGACGAAAGUCUGACGGAGCAACGCCGCGUGAGUGAUGAAGGUUUUCGGAUCGUAAAACUCUGUUGUUAGGGAAGAACAAGUAUCGUUCGAAUAGGGCGGUACCUUGACGGUACCUAACCAGAAAGCCACGGCUAACUACGUGCCAGCAGCCGCGGUAAUACGUAGGUGGCAAGCGUUGUCCGGAAUUAUUGGGCGUAAAGCGCGCGCAGGCGGUUUCUUAAGUCUGAUGUGAAAUCUUGCGGCUCAACCGCAAGCGGCCAUUGGAAACUGGGAGACUUGAGUGCAGAAGAGGAGAGUGGAAUUCCACGUGUAGCGGUGAAAUGCGUAGAGAUGUGGAGGAACACCAGUGGCGAAGGCGACUCUCUGGUCUGUAACUGACGCUGAGGCGCGAAAGCGUGGGGAGCGAACAGGAUUAGAUACCCUGGUAGUCCACGCCGUANACGAUGAGUGCUAAGUGUUAGAGGGUUUCCGCCCUUUAGUGCUGCAGCUAACGCAUUAAGCACUCCGCCUGGGGAGUACGGCCGCAAGGCUGAAACUCNAAGGAAUUGACGG
rnacentral:rRNA from 2 species